rnacentral:rRNA from 1 species
GACGGGGCCGCACAGCGGUGGAGCAUGUGGUUUAAUUCGAUGCAACGCGAAGAACCUUACCUGGUCUUGACAUCCCGGAGACCCUUAGGAAACGUAGGGGGUGCUUCCAUCUGGAAGAAUCUGGAGACAGGUGCUGCAUGGCUGUCGUCAGCUCGUGUCGUGAGAUGUUGGGUUAAGUCCCGCAACGAGCGCAACCCUUGCCUUUAGUUGCCAGCAGUUCGGCUGGGCACUCUAAAGGGACUGCCGGUGUUAAACCGGAGGAAGGUGGGGAUGACGUCAAGUCCUCAUGGCCUUUACGGGCUGGGCUACACACGUGCUACAAUGGUGGUGACAGUGGGCAGCGAGCACGCGAGUGUGAGCUAAUCUCCAAAAGCCAUCUCAGUUCGGAUUGCACUCUGCAACUCGAGUGCAUGAAGUUGGAAUCGCUAGUAAUCGCGGAUCCAGCAUGCCGCGGUGAAUACGUUCCGGGCCUU